AUUGAACGCUGGCGGCAGGCCUAACACAUGCAAGUCGAACGAGUGGCGGACGGGUGAGUAAUGUCUGGGAAACUGCCUGAUGGCGGGGGAUAACUACUGGAAACGGUAGCUAAUACCGCAUACCAUCAGAUGUGCCCAGAUGGGAUUAGCUAGUUGGUGGGGUAACGGCUCACCAAGGCGACGAUCCCUAUCUGGUCUGAGAGGAUGACCAGAGAGACUGGAACGUAGACACGGUCGAGACUCCUACGGGAGGCAGCAGUGGGGAAUAAUGAACAAUGGGGGAAAGCAUGAUGCAGCCAUGCGGCGUGUAUGAAGAAGGGCUUCGGGUUGUAAAGUACUUUAAGCGGGGAGGGGUUACCCGCAGAAGAAGCACCGGGUAACGCCGUGCCAGCAGCCGCGGUAAUUG
rnacentral:rRNA from 1 species